AGCAGCCGCGGUAAUUCCAGCUCCAAUAGCGUAUAUUAAAGUUGUUGCAGUUAAAAAGCUCGUAGUUGAAUUUCGGGGUCAGCAGGUUGGUCGUGCCACUGGUAUGCACUGGCUUCGCUGAUUCCUCCUCUCUGAAGAACUGUAAUGUCAUUAAUUUGGUGUUGCAGGGAAACAGGACUGUUACUUUGAAAAAAUUAGAGUGUUUAAAGCAGGCUAACGCUUGAAUACAUUAG
rnacentral:rRNA from 1 species